rnacentral:tRNA from 1 species
GCCGAAGUGGUGGAAUUGGUAGACACGCCAUCUUGAGGGGGUGGUGAGUUAUGCUCGUGCGGGUUCAAGUCCCGCCUUCGGCACCA